rnacentral:rRNA from 1 species
CAGUCGCCGCGGGAAUACGUAGGUGGCAAGCGUUGUCCGGAAUUAUUGGGCGUAAAGGGCUCGCAGGCGGUUUCUUAAGUCUGAUGUGAAAGCCCCCGGCUCAACCGGGGAGGGUCAUUGGAAACUGGGAAACUUGAGUGCAGAAGAGGAGAGUGGAAUUCCACGUGUAGCGGUGAAAUGCGUAGAGAUGUGGAGGAACACCGGUGGCGAAGGCGACUCUCUGGUCUGUAACUGACGCUGAGGAGCGAAAGCGUGGGGAGCGAACAGGAUUAGAUACCCCAGUAGUCCCUGUCUCUUAUAC